AGUCUGAGUUUUUCACAGCUAUAUCUCUGACACCUCUAAACACUUCAGUCGUCGCUUUCGGUUUUUAAUUUCCUUCCCCAUUUUUUUUCUUUACUUUUUUAUAAUGAGACAGGGGUCUCAUUAUGUUGCCCAGGCUGGUCUUGGACUCCUGAGCUCUAGCGAUCCUCCCGCCUCUGCCUCCCAAACUGUUGGGAUUACAGGCGUGAGCCACUGCGCCUGGCCUAUUUCUUUCCCUUUUUGUCUCCUUUCAAUUUUUUUUUUUAAACAAAAAGAGCAGUCUCUUUGAUCCAGAGCUUCACUGGAGGGUGAGGCUGUGGAUCCCAGGGUCCUGCGAGAAAAGCAAGUUGAUUGAAGGAAAAAUCUGUGGUCCGGGGAGAUGUUCCAAAUCCUGGAGGUGGAGAGGAAUGAAUGACGUUUGUGGCUUGCAGAUCAACUCCCCGCAGCGGGCGUGACGUUGUCACAGCCAAAAUUGUCCUCCACGCGCUGCUACGAGACGAGAAGUCUUGCCAUGUUGCCCGGGUUGGUCUCCAACUCUUGGGCUCAAGACAUCCUCCUGCUUCAGGCUCCCUCAGUGCUGAGAUUUCAGCACACAGAGGAAAGGCCAUGUGAGGACACAGCAAGAAGGCGGCCAUCUGCAAGCCAAGAAGAGAGUCCUCACCAGGAACCAACUCUGCUGACACCUUGCUGUUGGACUUCCAGCCUCUAUAAAUGUUCACAAGCACACCACUGUUUACACCCAUCUAGAAGGCCCCUCCCAGCUGACAUCUUUCUGCCUACCUUUCAGGAAGACAGACGAAACUCUCUGCCUUCAGGUGGGGCAAGACUGCUGAUGGCUGGAACAGGAGCUUGGCACCUCCACCCUGACCCAGACACAAGCCUGUCUGUCCCACUCAAAUCGAGCUGGCCAGAGACUACAACUGUGUUGGUUCCCAAGACAUAGAAAAGCCAGAAGAGGUCGGGCGCAGUGGCUCACGCCUGUCAGCACUUUGGGAAGCCGAGGCAGGCAGAUUACCUAAGGUCAAGAGUUCAAGACCAAUCUGGCCAAUGUGGUGAAACCCCAUCUCUACUAAAAAUACAAAAAUUAGCUGGGUGUGGUGGUGCACCUACAGGCCCAGCUACUCGGGCGGCUGAGGCAGGAGAAUCGCUGGAAUCCAGGAGGCAGAGGUUGCAGUGAGCCGGUAUCACGCCACUGCACUCCAGCCUGGGCGACAAGAGCUAAACUCCACCUCAAAAAACAACAACAACAACAAAACAAACAAACAGAAAACAAGCCAGAAGAGAUGGGGAGGAACUGGAGUGUGAUCUCCCAUUCCAUUAACCCAGAUCUGGGACUACCAGGUGGAACAUUCCAAACAUAUCAUUUUUUAUUUUCUCUCUCCCUCUCUCUUAAGGCACAUCUUCCAAUACUCUGCAGUCAUUAAGCAGAAUGAGGCAGGUCUGGAUGUGCUGAUUUGGGGAAGGUGUCCACAGUAUAUAAUUAACUGGAAAAAGCUAUCAUGGAACUGUGUGCCUGCAACGAUCCCUAUUUGUGAAAGUAAAAGGAGGAUAUUCGUAUCGACUCUGGUGUGCAAAUAGAAAAUGCCAGGGCGGAUACACCGGGCAGCUCUUAGCAGAGCUAUAUUAGGGGGAAGGGAGGAGCUGAGAGAGAGACUCCAUUCAAUAUGCUCCCCCUCCGAUAGGGUUUGAAUUCCUUGCGUUUUAUCAUGAGCAUGUAUUGCUUUUCUAAGAAAAGAAAUCCACCAGGUGCGGUGGCUCAUGUCUGUAAUCCCAACACUUUGGGAGGAUGAGGUGGGAGGAUUGAUUGCUUGAGGCCAGGAGGUGGAGGUUGCAGUGCGCUGUGAUUGCACCACUGCACUCCAGCAUGGGUGACAGAGGGAGAUCCUGUCUAAUUAAAAUUUAAAAAAAAAAUUAGAAAGAAAAUGAAGGCCAGGCAUGAGCCACCACUUUAGGAGGCCGAGGCAGGCAGAUCACCUGAGAUCAGGAGUUCGAGACCAGCCUGGCCAACAUGGUGAAACCCUGUCUCUACUAAAAAUACAAAAAUUAGUUGGGCAUGGUAGCGUGUGCCUUUAAUCCCAGCUACUUGGGAGGCUGAAGCAGGAGAAUUGCUUGAACCCACGAGGCAGAGGUUGCAGUGAGCCCAGAUCGCGCCAUUGCGCUCCAGCCUGGGUGACACAGCGAAAUUCCGUCUCAAAAAAAAAAAAAAAGGAAAAAAAGAAAAAGAGACACUGCCUCUAAAAAACAAAUAAGUCUCUCUCUGUCUCUCUCUUUGUGUGUUUCUCUCACGCCUGUGGAUUCUGUUUCUCUGGAGAACCCUGACUAACACAGCAGAACUUUACAAAUUGUCUCUCUAGUCUGCAGCUACCCAUUUUAUAGAUGAGAAAACUGAGGCCCAGGGAGGGGAAUGGCUGCUCA
rnacentral:lncRNA from 10 species